rnacentral:rRNA from 1 species
GCGCAAGAUUAGGUUGUUGGUUAAUUUAAUAGCUUUACCAAGCCUACGAUCUUUAGUUGGUCUUAGAGGAUGAACAACCACACUGGAACUGAAAUAAGGUCCAGGCUGAUUUUUCGGCCAGCAGUAAGGAAUAUUGGACAAUGAACGAAAGUUUGAUCCAGCAAUACUAUCAUGAAUUAAGACGACUCUAUAGUAGUUGAAAGAUUCUUUUGUGUUAAAUGAUAAUGACGUUAUGAUACACAAAAGUCCCGGCUAAUACUCGUGCCAGCAGCCGCGGUAAAACGAGGGGGGCGAGCGUUAUUCAUCAUGACUGGGCGUAAAGGGUUCGUAGACUGCUAAGUAAGUUUUAUGUUAAAAAUUGAAGAUUAAUCUCUAAUAAAAGCAUAAAAGACUGCUUUGCUUGAGUUUUUUACGGGAGAAUAUAAUUUUAUUUGUAAGGGUAGAAUCUAACGAUCAAUAAAGGAAUGUUCGAAGCGAAGGCGAUUCUCUAGUAAAAACUGACGUUGAGGAACGAAAGUGUAGGUAGCAAACAGGAUUAGAGACCCUGGUAGUCUACACUGUAAAUCAUGAAUGUUGUAAUUUAAUGGCAAUUUUCAAUAUUGCUUUAGAUUUUUAAGCUAACGCGAUAAACAUUCCGCCUGAGGAGUACGGUCGCAAGGUUGGAACUCAAAGGAAUUGACGGGGGCCUAACACUAGUGGUGGGGUAUGUGGUUUAAUGCGAUAAUCCACGCAAAAUCUUACCAAUCUUUGACAU